GCACUGAUUAUUCAGUGCGUGGUAGGGGAGCGUUCUGUAAGUCUGCGAAGGCGGUUCGAGAGGACUGCUGGAGAUAUCAGAAGUGCGAAUGCUGACAUGAGUAACGUUAAAGCGGGUGAAAAGCCCGCUCGCCGUAAGCCCAAGGUUUCCUGCUCUACGUUCAUCGGAGCAGGGUGAGUCGGCCCCUAAGGCCAGGCUGAGAAGCGUAGUCGAUGGGAAGCAGAUUAAUAUUUCUGCACCAUGUGCAAGUGCGAUGGGGGGACGGAGUGCGAAAGAUCAUCCGGGUGUUGGAUGUCCCGGUUUGUGAGUGUAGAAGGCCGACAGGCAAAUCCGUCGGCAGAUCUUCGAGACAAAGCAUCGAGGUUCUACGGAACCGAAGUGAUCGGAAGUGCUUCCAGGAAAAGCCUCUAAGCUCCAGCUUGCAUAUGACCGUACCGUAAACCGACACUGGUGGGCGAGUUGAAUAUACUCAGGCGCUUGAGAGAACUCGGGAGAAGGAACUCGGCAAAUUGACACCGUAACUUCGGGAUAAGGUGUGCCUUUGUAGCGUGAAGAGAGAAACACUCGGAGCGUGAAGAGGCCUCAGAGAAUCGGUGGCUGCAACUGUUUAUUAAAAACACAGCACUCUGCAAAGACGAAAGUCGACGUAUAGGGUGUGAUGCCUGCCCGGUGCUGGAAGAUUAAGUGAUGGGGUGAGAGCUCCUGAUCGAAGUCCCAGUAAACGGCGGCCGUAACUAUAACGGUCCUAAGGUAGCGAAAUUCCUUGUCGGGUAAGUUCCGACCUGCACGAAUGGCAUAAUGAUGGCCACACUGUCUCCUCCGCGAGCUCAGUGAAGUUGAAAUGUUUGUGAUGAUGCAAUCUCCCCGCGGCUAGACGGAAAGACCCCAUGAACCUUUACUGUAGCUUUGCAUUGGACUUUGAACCGAUUUGUGUAGGAUAGGCGGGAGGCAGAGAAAGCGCAACGCCAGUUGUGCCGGAGCCGACGUUGAAAUACCGCCCUGAUUUGUUUGAGGUUCUAACCGCGACCCGUGAGCCGGGUCCGGGACCGUGCAUGGCAGGCAGUUUGACUGGGGCGGUCUCCUCCUAAAGGGUAACGGAGGAGUACAAAGGUACGCUAGGUACGGUCGGAAAUCGUGCUGAUAGUGCAAAGGCAAAAGCGUGCUUGACUGCGAGACCGACAAGUCGAGCAGAUGCGAAAGCAGGUCUUAGUGAUCCGGUGGCUCUGUAUGGAAGGGCCAUCGCUCAACGGAUAAAAGGUACUCUGGGGAUAACAGGCUGAUACCGCCCAAGAGUUCAUAUCGACGGCGGUGUUUGGCACCUCGAUGUCGGCUCAUCUCAUCCUGGGGCUGUAGCCGGUCCCAAGGGUAUGGCUGUUCGCCCUUUUAAGAGGUACGUGAGCUGGGGUUUAAACGUCGUG
rnacentral:rRNA from 1 species